rnacentral:lncRNA from 1 species
AGUUUUAUUUUAAAUCUCUCAAAAACAUCUGCCCCAAUCCCUCAAAGUCUCGAACAAAGAGGACACCCGCUCGACUCUAUUUUGUUUUCCUGCAACAAUUAUUUUCUCACGACGCCUCACAUCAUGUUCACACCCCCAUCAAAAUUGAGCCAUCAAAGCCUCAAUCAUCUUCCCGGAGAUCGUGUUUGCUGAAAUUGGUUUGCUUCCUAGGGUACUGCAGCACCUCACACCCUGCGAACCUCGGCUAAGGUGUU